UAAAAAAAAAAAAAAAAAAAAAAAAAAAAAAAAAAAAAACGUUUUCACGCUAUUAU
rnacentral:ribozyme from 1 species